rnacentral:rRNA from 1 species
UGUGAAAUUGUUGAAAGGGAAACGCUUGAAGUCAGUCGCGUCGGCUGGGGAUCAACCUUGCUUCUUGCUUGGCUUACUUCCCAGUUGACGGGUCAGCAUCAGUUUUGACCAGUGGAUAAAGGUUAAGGGAAUGUGGCACCUCCGGGUGUGUUAUAGCCCUUGGUCAUAUACAUUGGUUGGGACUGAGGAACUCAGCACUUGUGCUUAGGAUGCUGGCAUAAUGGCUUUAAGCGACCCGUCUU